GGACCCGUAGCUCAGCCAGGACGGAGCGCAGGCCUGCGGAGCCUGAGGUCCCGGGUUCGAGUCCCGGCGGGUCCG
rnacentral:tRNA from 2 species